rnacentral:rRNA from 1 species
UACGUAGGUGGCGAGCGUUGUCCGGAUUUACUGGGCGUAAAGGGCGUGCAGGCGGUUUGUUAAGUGCAGGGUGAAAGCUCCCGGCUCAACUGGGAGAGGUCCUUGCAUACUGGCGAACUCGAGGGAGGCAGAGGAAGUGGAAUUCCCGGUGUAGUGGUGAUAUGCGUAGAUAUCGGGAGGAACACCUGUGGCGAAGGCGGCUUCUGGGCCUUACCUGACGCUGAGACGCGAAAGCGUGGGGAGCGAACCGG